GUGACUAUACUGGCCCAGAGCAGCAAGUGUUGUGCUGUCUAAACAAAACACCCUUCAGGACCAAGCACUGGUCUGGGCUGUUGGCCUGAAAGGAUCUGACUAUAGCGUGGAGCAGCAAUAAUUCUGCUCGCCAUGCAAAACGGCCUUCGAAAUUGACCAAAGGAGCUAAAAUGUUACUCAGGCCUGUUUGCUGGCAGUGUGCUGAUUUUGGCCCAAAGCAGAAACUGUUCUGAACACUUGACAAAACGGCAUUCAGAGCCAACCACUACUCAGAUCUAUUGUCCGUGAAGAAGCUGAUUUCAGCCCACAGCAGGAAGCAUUCUGGUCACCAGGCAAGAUUGUGAUUGUGUUCAGACUCGACAACAGGAAGUAGGAUGCCUGCUGGCUGGAGGGCGACUAUAUUG